rnacentral:rRNA from 1 species
CUGUACCUGCAGUCGACGGUGAACCAAGCUUGCUUGGUGAUCAGUGGCGAACGGGUGAGCCCCUAAAGACCCACCUGCCCUGGACUCUGGGAUAAGCGCUGGACACUGAGUCUAAUACUGGAUAUGAGCUCUCAUCGCAUGGUGGGGGUUGGAAAGAUUUUUCGGUCUGGGAUGGGCUCGCGGCCUAUCAGCUUGUUGGUGAGGUAAUGGCUCACCAAGGCGUCGACGGGUAGCCGGCCUGAGAGGGUGACCGGCCACACUGGGACUGAGACACGGCCCAGACUCCUACGGGAGGCAGCAGUGGGGAAUAUUGCACAAUGGGCGGAAGCCUGAUGCAGCAACGCCGCGUGAGGGAUGACGGCCUUCGGGUUGUAAACCUCUUUUAGCAGGGAAGAAGCGAGAGUGACGGUACCUGCAGAAAAAGCGCCGGCUAACUACGUGCCCGCAGCCGCGGUAAUACGUAGGGCGCAAGCGUUAUCCCGGAUUAUUGGGGCGUAAAGAGCUCGUAGGCGGGUUGUCGCGUCUGCUGUGAAAUCCCCAGGCUCCACCUCCGGGCUGCAGGGGGUACGGGCAAACUAAAGUGCGGGUGGGGGAGAUUGGAAAUCCCGGGGGUACCGGGGGAAUGGGCCAAAAUUCAGGAAGAAACCCCAUGGGGAAAGGGGGAUCUCCGGGGCCCUACCUGACCCCUUAAGAAGCGAAAGGGGGGGGGAGAAAACAGGCCUUAAACCCCCCGGGAACC